AGUAGUAUUUUCAAUUAAAUGCAAGUAGGUAUUUAUGUGUAGUGUUGUUUUUUGAAUGCAAGGGUGAGUUUGCAUACAAUGUUGGUAUUUUAAUACAGAGAUAUGUUUGUGUGUUUUAUUUUUUUAUUUGGUGUUGAUAUUUGAAUGCAGAGGUAUAUUUGUGUAUAGUUUUAAUGUUUUAUUGCAGGUGUGUAUUUGUGUUUAGAGUUUACAUUGUAAUGCAGAGAUGUAU